CGGGCUGUGUGAGGGGUUCGGAGGACGCCUGACCCGGUCUCCACCCUGCCGCAGGGACAAGAAUGGGCCCGUGCCCCUGCUUCACCCACCUCGGCCCCGUGGCCCAGAGGAGCCCGUGAACCCUGUCCCCUGACCCGUGGGACACCGAGGGGGACGCUCAGAGCCGCCGAGGCUCCGGGGGUCCCCCGGGGCUCGGGGCCACCCCCAGCACUCGCCGGCCGCACUGAGGGGCGCAGGGAUGGCCCCGUCCCACCAGCGCUCUCAAAGCCGCCUUUGUUGUGGGGCUGUCACCCGGGGCACAGGCCUCCUGGCCUCUGGUUGCCAGGACAACGAGAGGAGGAGGAGGAGGAGGAGGGUGGGUUGAUGGGGAGGAAGGGGAGAGGCGGCAGCAGGAUGGUCUGGACAGCGCCGGCAAAAGCGAACCCCAAAAAAGUGGCUCUGAGGGGGCUCCGUGGCUCUGAGGGGGCUCCGUGGCUCUGAGGGGGCUCCGUGGCUCUGAGGGGGCUCCGUGGCUUCUGUGAGGCACCGCCAGGAGGGGAGAUGCCAAAACUGAGCCCUGGAUUGCUCCAAACCCCCACUGGGUCAAUUUAAAGCAGCUAAAAAGGAGAAGAGUUUUGUGAUGAGGGUGGGCAGGCCCUGGCAGAGGUUUCCCAGAGCAGCUGUGGCUGCCUCUGGAUCCCUGGCAGUGCCCACGGCCAGGUUGGAGCUUCCCAGGACAGUGGAAGAUGUCCCUGCCCAUGGUAGGGGGUAAAAAUUAGAAGAUAUUUAAGCUCUCUUCCAACCCAAACUAUUCUAGGGUUCUACCAUUCCAUGAAAUGUAUUUUUAGGCCAAUAUUUAUGGUUUGUCCCUUUGCAGCUUUGCAGUUCCACCAGAUUUCAGGGGAGUUCAAAGGUGUUUUCCUGCCUCCUCUGGGCCCUGGGCUAUUUAUAGCUUCAGAUGUUGGCAGCCCAGCUCUCACAGACAACUGUAUGGUGACAAUGUGCACAUGGAAAUGGCUCAUUCCUGAGCUGCAGGAACGGCCAAGAACCAGGGAUCUCCACAUCUCCACCAGCAGGGGCUGUGUGGGGCUGUGCAGCCGGACACAGGGACAGGCUCCAGCUCAUCUUGGACCUGACUGGAGCCCCGGAGUUUUCCACUCCUGCUGGAAGCUCCUGCCCACCUCACCUCCUGCGUUAUCUCCUGCAUGUCCCCUGUGCUUCCCCGCUCCAGCCGAGGGCAGGAAGAGGAGAAGGACACCACGAGCACACAGGAACUCGGAGAGAGCUGGAAAAGAGCUCUCAGGGCUGGCCAGGCUCCAGGGCAGAGGGACACAGCCCUGCUCGGGAGCAGAGCCACAGAGCCCUUCACAGCCACCCCAUUUCACCCCACGGCUGCCCCGUUGCACAUCCCACUGGAGCAGAACCCCUUCACCUUCCCGGUUUUUGCACUCACCCCCCUCUCCCUUCAGCAUCAGCUGCAGGCAGAUGGGAUUGUGGUGGAUUAUUUAGGGAAAACGCCCAAUAACAUCACAAUUACUUACCAUAAAAGCCUGGUGUUUCCAAUAAUAGCCUAAUGUUCCAGGCACCUGUCCAACAGAGCUCUCCUACCUGCCCACUGCAGGAUUCGUAUCCAUCACGCUCCCCUACUGGCAUCUCGAGGUGCCACUGCCACUCUGCCAGGCUGUACGCAGCAGGGACAGGGGCUGGAGGAGCUGUCACCCCCACAGUGUCACCCCUUGGGGUCUGCAGAGGGUUGUGAACAACAACUGGUGGGGAAGAGGCAAUGCCAAACCAGGAAUUCUCUUGCAAAUCAACACUGCCACCCCUGGAAGUGUCCAAGGCCAGGCUGGAAGGGGCUUGGAGCACCUUGGGAUAGUGGAAGGUGUCCCUGCCCAUGGGGGUAGAACGAGGUGGGUUUUAAGAUUCCCCCCUCCAACCCAAACUAUCCUGGGGUCCAGGAUCUGCCAGGCUUUGGCGGCUGCUGCAGCUCCAGGCUGGCCUCGCCUCUCCUGCCGAUGGCAGGUGGCAGCAGCGGGGCCCAGUGAGCCCAGAUGCCACUCUCACCUCUUGACACGGUCACCCCGAUGCUGGAAUGAGGCGGAAAGGGACAAGUGGUGCAGGAACAAAAGGGCUCAGAACUGUUUUUCUUGGUCAGAUCCCACGAGCCCCAUCAGCAACAUCCGCAAUGGCUUUUCCAGACCAGGCUGGGCAGCCAG
rnacentral:lncRNA from 1 species